rnacentral:misc_RNA from 1 species
AUGAGAACGUGCCCUCACGGGUAGAUCUCCCACCCUUUGUUAACCAAACAUUGUUGCUUUGUCUGGCCCGACCCUCGGGUCCGCCGGCCUUCGGGCUGGUCAGCGCCGGACAGAGGAAACUAAAACCUUUAUCACUGUCGUCAGAGUACUAUAUAAUAGUUA